AUGGCGUUGAGGGCUAGGACGAUGCUGGCGCUGCUGCUCGCCGCGGUGGCGGUGACAUGCGCGCGGGCGCAGCUGCACGACAAUUUCUACAGCGAGUCGUGCCCCAGCGUGGAAGACGUCGUGAGGAAGGAGAUGGUGAGGGCGCUGUCACUGGCGCCCAGCCUCGCCGGGCCGCUCCUCCGUAUGCACUUCCACGACUGCUUCGUCAGGGGGUGCGACAGCUCGGUUCUGCUGGACUCGGCCAACAAGACGGCGGAGAAGGAUGCGCAGCCGAACCAGACGCUGCGAGGCUUCGGAUUUGUCGAGAGGGUGAAGGCCGCGGUGGAGAAGGCCUGCCCCGACACGGUCUCCUGUGCCGACAUCCUCGCCCUCAUUGCCAGGGACGCAGUAUGGCUGGUGAGUAUAGACUACUGGGCCAUUUUGCAAAUGACACGGUACGUGUGGAAGCCAAAUUCUAAUGCUGCUCGAUCAUGGUUUCUCCAGAGCAAGGGUCCAUUCUGGACAGUUCCUCUCGGCCGGCGAGACGGCAGCGUGUCCAUUUCCAACGAGACCGACGCUCUGCCACCCCCGACCUCCAACUUCACCGUGCUCACCCAGCUCUUCGCCGCCGUGAACCUCGACGCAAAGGACCUUGUCGUCUUGUCCGCCGGGCACACCAUCGGGACGUCGCACUGCUUCUCCUUCUCCGACCGGCUCUACAACUUCACCGGCAUGGAGAACCCCAGCGACAUCGACCCCACGCUGGAGCCACAGUACAUGAUGCGGCUAAAGAGCAAGUGUGCCAGCCUCAACGACAACACCACCCUUGUGGAGAUGGACCCCGGCAGCUUCAAGACCUUCGACACCGACUACUUCAAGCUGGUGAGCAAACGGAGGGGCCUCUUCCACUCCGACGGCGCCCUCCUCACCGACCCCUUCACCCGUGCAUACGUCCAGCGCCAUGCCACCGGCGCCUUCAAGGAUGAGUUCUUCGCCGACUUCGCCGCCUCCAUGAUCAAGAUGGGCAACGCCAACCCGCUCACCGGAAGCAAUGGUGAGAUCAGGAAGAAGUGCAGCGUGGUCAACCAUUAA
rnacentral:rRNA from 1 species